UAUACGUGGAAUAUUGGAAUAUCCAUAUAAUAUUUUCUAAUACUCCCCCUCGAACUAGAUCCAAAAGAUGGAUCUAAGCUUGCUCAAGAGUUGGUAAAAAUGAAUAGAUGAUAGAGCUUUAGUGAACACAUCUAAAAGUUCGUCACUAGUUCACACAUAUGGGUAUUAAUAACUUUCGAUCGAAAUUGCUGACGGAUGUAAUGAAAAUAUGCUUCAAUAUGUUUUGUCCUUUCAUAAAA
rnacentral:lncRNA from 1 species